UACGGAGGAUGCAAGCGUUAUCCGGAAUUAUUGGGCGUAAAGCGUCCGUAGGUGGCCGUUCAAGUCUGCCGUUAAAACCAGUAGCUUAACUACUGACAGGCGGUGGAAACUGAACAGCUAGAGUGUGGUAGGGGUAGAGGGAAUUCCCAGUGUAGCGGUGAAAUGCGUAGAGAUUGGGAAGAACACCGGUGGCGAAAGCGCUCUGCUGGACCACAACUGACACUCACAGGACGAAAGCUAGGGGAGCGAA
rnacentral:rRNA from 1 species